GGCAGCCGCCGCGGGAACACCGGCGGCCCGAGUGGUGAUCGUGAUUAUUGGGUCUAAAGGGUCCGUAGCCGGUUUGGUCAGUCCUCCGGGAAAUCUGAUAGCUCAACUAUUAGGCUUUCGGGGGAUACUGCCAGACUUGGAACCGGGAGAGGUAAGAGGUACUACAGGGGUAGGAGUGAAAUCUUGUAAUCCCUGUGGGACCACCUGUGGCGAAGGCGUCUUACCAGAACGGGUUCGACGGUGAGGGACGAAAGCUGGGGGGCACGAACCGGAUUAGAUACCCGGGUAGUCCCAGCCGUAAACGAUGCUCGCUAGGUGUCAGGCAUGGCGCGACCGUGUCUGGUGCCGCAGGGAAGCCGUGAAGCGAGCCACCUGGGAAGUACGGCCGCAAGGCUGAAACUUAAAGGAAUUGGCGGGGGAGCACAACAACGGGUGGAGCCCUGCGGUUUAAUUGGACUCAACGCCGGACAACUCGCCGGGGGCGACAGCAAUAUGUAGGCCAAGCUGAAGACUUUGCCUGAAUCGCUGAGAAGAGGUGCAUGG
rnacentral:rRNA from 1 species